rnacentral:rRNA from 1 species
UACGGAGGGUGCAAGCGUUAUCCGGAUUCACUGGGUUUAAAGGGUGCGUAGGCGGGCAGGUAAGUCCGUGGUGAAAUCUCUGAGCUUAACUCAGAAACUGCCAUGGAUACUAUUUGUCUUGAAUAUUGUGGAGGUAAGCGGAAUAUGUCAUGUAGCGGUGAAAUGCUUAGAUAUGACAUAGAACACCAAUUGCGAAGGCAGCUUACUACACAGUUAUUGACGCUGAGGCACGAAAGCUAGGGGAGCAAACGGG